rnacentral:rRNA from 1 species
UCAAGUUAUUAAGGGUGCAGGGCGGAUGCCUUGGCACUAGGAGCCGAUGAAGGACGUGAUAAGCUGCGAUAAGCUUCGGGGAGUUGCACGUAAACUUUGAUCCGAAGAUUUCCGAAUGAGGAAACUCACUUAGAGUAAUGUCUAAGUAUCGUUAAGUGAAUACAUAGCUUAGCGAGGGGAACCCGGGGAACUGAAACAUCUAAGUACCCGGAGGAAGAGAAAGAAAUUCGAUUCCGUAAGUAGCGGCGAGCGAACGCGGAACAGGCCAAACCAAUGAAGUUUACUUCGUUGGGGUUGCGGACAUACAACAUGGAUGCAAUAUCGUAAAUGAAGAGAGUUGGAAAGCUCCGCCAUAGAAGGUAAUAGCCCUGUAGUUGAAACGAGAAAGCUACUAGUAUGAUCCAGAGUACCACGGGACACGUGAAACCCUGUGGGAAGCAGGAGGGACCAUCCUCCAAGCCUAAAUACUACCUAGUGACCGAUAGCGCAUAGUACCGUGAGGGAAAGGUGAAAAGAACCCCGGGAGGGGAGUGAAAUAGAACCUGAAACCCUGCACUUACAAGCUGUGGGAGCACAUUACUUGUGUGACCGCGUACUUUUUGUAGAACGGGCCAACGAGUUACGUUAAGUAGCAAGGUUAAGCACUUAAGGUGUGGAGCCGUAGCGAAAGCGAGUCUUAAAUGGGCGAUUAAGUUACUUGGCGUAGACCCGAAACCGGGCGACCUAUCCAUGAGCAGGUUGAAGCGAAAGUAAAAUUUCGUGGAGGACCGAACCCACGAGCGUUGAAAAGCUCGGGGAUGACUUGUGGAUAGCGGUGAAAUUCCAAUCGAGCCCGGAGAUAGCUGGUUCUCCCCGAAAUAGCUUUAGGGCUAGCCUCAAGCGUAGAGAAACGGAGGUAGAGCACUGAAUGUCCUAGGGGGUAUUGCACUUACCGAAGACUAUCAAACUCCGAAUGCCGUUUUCUUUUACUUGGGAGUCAGACUGUGGGUGAUAAGAUUCAUAGUCAAAAGGGCAACAGCCCAGAUCGUCAGCUAAGGUCCCUAAAUGUACGUUAAGUGGUAAAGGAUGUGGGAUUGCACAGACAACCAGGAUGUUGGCUUAGAAGCAGCCACUCAUUUAAAGAGUGCGUAAUAGCUCACUGGUCGAGUGAUCCUGCGCCGAAAAUUUCCGGGGCUAAAACGUACUACCGAAGCUACGGCAUCAUUUAUGAUGGGUAGGGGAGCUUCGUAUGCAGGCUGAAGCAUGACCGUAAGGACAUGUGGACAGUAUACGAGUGAGAAUGUUGGCAUGAGUAGCGAGACGUGGGUGAGAAUCCCACGGGCCGUAAACCCAAGGUUUCCAGGGGAAGGUUCGUCCGCCCUGGGUUAGUCGGGACCUAAGGAGAGACCGAAAGGUGUAUCCGAUGGACAACAGGUUGAUAUUCCUGUACUAGAGUAUGUAGUGAUGGAGGGACGCAGUAGGCUAACUAAACCAGACGAUUGGAAGUGUCUGGCCAAGCAGUGAGGUGUGAUAUGAGUCAAAUGCUUAUAUCUAUAACAUUGAGCUGUGAUGGGGAGCGAAGUUUAGUAGCGAAGUUAGUGAUGUCACACUGCCGAGAAAAGCUUCUAGCGUUAAUCAUACUCUACCCGUACCGCAAACCGACACAGGUAGUCGAGGCGAGUAGCCUCAGGUGAGCGAGAGAACUCUCGUUAAGGAACUCGGCAAAAUGACCCCGUAACUUCGGGAGAAGGGGUGCUGACUUUACGUCAGCCGCAGUGAAUAGGCCCAAGCAACUGUUUAUCAAAAACACAGCUCUCUGCUAAAUCGUAAGAUGAUGUAUAGGGGGUGACGCCUGCCCGGUGCUGGAAGGUUAAGAGGAGUGCUUAGCAAUAGCGAAGGUAUGAAUUGAAGCCCCAGUAAACGGCGGCCGUAACUAUAACGGUCCUAAGGUAGCGAAAUUCCUUGUCGGGUAAGUUCC